AUAGCUUUGUGUGUACGCAAAGUGAAUUCUGCCCAGUGCUUGGGACGUUAAGGAAGUAAUUUUAAGUACGCACCUGUAAACGGCGGGAGUAACUAUGACUCUCUUAAGGUAGCCAAAUGCCUCGUCGCCUAAUUAGCGACGCGCAUGAAUGGAGCAACGAGAUUCCCACUGUCCCUGCUCACAGAUUUGCGAACCUACAGCCAAGGGAACGGGCUUGGGACAUGCAGCGGGGAAAGAAGACCCUGUUGAGCUUGACUCUAGCCAAGCACAGGCCUCUGUGACUAUAUCGUAGCGAGGUGGGAGAAAUGUGUGAGACCACUGACAUAGUCGGCGGGGGCACUCGCAAAGCUUGGUGGGGAGUUUGGCUGGGGCGGCACGACUACUAAAACAUAACGUAGACGUCCAAAGGUAAGCUCCGAGGGGAUGGAAACCACUCCGAGAGUAUAAGGGCAAAAGCUUGCUUUAGUUAUUAAUGUAAAUUAAUAAUACUGGAAACAGGGGCCUAGAGAUCCUCUAUGAAACUAAGCAUAGAGGUGACGGAAAAGUUACCACAGGGAUAACUGGCUUGUGGCGGCCGAGCGUCCAUAGCGACGCCGCUUUUUGAUUCCUCGAUGUCCGCUCCUUCCGAGCAUGGUGGAAGUAUCAGCCACCAAGUGUUGUGAUUGUUCACCAACUAACAGGGAAC
rnacentral:rRNA from 1 species